UGUCAUUGUGGUAGCCAUUUAUUGAAUUC
rnacentral:piRNA from 1 species